rnacentral:rRNA from 1 species
AAACACCCGGAAGCCGGUGGACCCUAACCCUUAGGUGGGAGGGAGCCGUCGAAGGUGGGGCUCGCGAUUGGGGUG